rnacentral:rRNA from 1 species
UACGGAGGGUGCGAGCGUUGUCCGGAAUCAUUGGGCGUAAAGAGCUCGUAGGUGGUUUGUCGCGUUGUUCGUGAAAACUCACAGCUCAACUGUGGGCGUGCGGGCGAUACGGGCAGACUUGAGUACUGCAGGGGAGACUGGAAUUCCUGGUGUAGCGGUGGAAUGCGCAGAUAUCAGGAGGAACACCGGUGGCGAAGGCGGGUCUCUGGGCAGUAACUGACGCUGAGGAGCGAAAGCGUGGGGAGCGAACAGG